GACGAACGCUGGCGGCGUGCUUAACACAUGCAAGUCGAACGGAAAGGCCCUGCUUUUGUGGGGUGCUCGAGUGGCGAACGGGUGAGUAACACGUGAGUAACCUGCCCUUGACUUUGGGAUAACUUCAGGAAACUGGGGCUAAUACCGGAUAGGAGCUCCUGCUGCAUGGUGGGGGUUGGAAAGUUUCGGCGGUUGGGGAUGGACUCGCGGCUUAUCAGCUUGUUGGUGGGGUAGUGGCUUACCAAGGCUUUGACGGGUAGCCGGCCUGAGAGGGUGACCGGCCACAUGGGGACUGGGAACCGGCCCAGAUGCCACCGGGGGGAAGCGGUGGGAAUAUUGCACAAUGGGCGGAAGCCUGAUGCAGCAACGCCGCGUGCGGGAUGACGGCCUUCGGGUUGUAAACCGCUUUCGCCUGUGACGAAGCGUGAGUGACGGUAAUGGGUAAAGAAGCACCGGCUAACUACGUG
rnacentral:rRNA from 1 species